CUACAAACAUGAAUAAUAUGAACCAUGAAAAACUAUUUUAACAAUAUCAUGUCUCAGUUUAUUUAUUUACACAUGUACAUUACAACUCACUGGAUCUAGAAAGUUUCAAAACAUUUAGUAACGGACAGAAUAUUGAUCCAGUUCCCCUUACGAUAUUUCAGGUUUUUCACAUUUUUUGUGAAAGAACAGUUUGUUUUAGGAUGCUUCUAUGAAACUGGUCCCUAAAAACAGGAC